rnacentral:rRNA from 1 species
UACGAGGGGUGCAAGCGUUGCUCGGAAUUAUUGGGCGUAAAGGGCAGGUAGGUGGUCUUAUUUGUCUUGUGUGAAAUCCUUGGGCUUAACUCAAGAAGUGCGCAAGAAACGGUAAGACUAGAGUCCCAGAGAGGCUUGUGGAAUUCCCGGUGUAGCGGUGGAAAUGCGUAGAGAUCGGGAGGAACACCAGAGGCGAAGGCGGCAAGCUGGAUGGGGCACUGAACACU